UAUUAGUAUGCAGGCAAUGGUGGCGUCGUGAACGAGUCAGGAUCGGAAGAUAGCAGCUAUAAGCGACUAAGCCAUGUGCCCUUUUUUAUGCUUUCAAGA
rnacentral:SRP_RNA from 1 species